ACAUCCUCCUGGGUAUGGACGAGAGAGCUCCAACUCCUUCAGGCUCUCACUGAUCCUCAUUGGAGUCCCCACAUAGGCAUGAAGGAAACUAAUCACAGGCAGUGCCGAGCUGGGCUGGAAGGAACGAGCCCUAACGCCGCCCGCUCGGCAAGCUAAACGCGGAUCUCGCAAAAUCAUCUCUCGAUGAAGACGAGGUGAACCUUUUGUGCAGUUAUUUCUUAAACGCUGGGCAGCUCACCUGUCAAACCACGGGCACAGGAAAACAGGAGUGAAUUCUCUAUUUCAUAGUGCAGCUAAUCCAUUCUGAGCAGAUUUUUUCACUAAAACCAUGGGAGAAGUUGGGAUUUUCUUUGGUUCGACCCCAAUAGGCAUUCACUGCUGUUUAUCAGACCUUCACGCUGGGCAGGUGUAGCCAUCACAGAACAAGCACACAGUGUGGCAGCACAUGGGAGCACUCUGGAGCAGAAUUCUUUCUGGAGGAGGAAAGUGUAGGGCAUGGUGGACACAGCAACUGGAGGAAAAAAAGAAAGGAGCUGAUGAAGCGUAUUUGGAAAAGGAUCUGUCCCUCUAUGAUGUCAACACAUUUUUCUGCAGAGCUCUUUGUAUGAUGUUGCCUACCUGUAAGACAAAUUGUCUUUGUCUCGCCGUUAGAGUUCUUGUGCACCUGCGUCGAUAACUUCAUGUAGAAUACACCAAGAGAUAGCUUUUAUAUCAUGGCAUGGGGACCCACGUGCCAGUGGUCCACACAGUAGGGUGUAUAUGUUGAAAUUGACAGAUAUGGCCAUUUCCUCCCUAGGAGUGACUAAUGCCAGAGGGCAACGGUAGUUCAUUAUGCCAUGCACUGUGUCAGGGAGGUGCCCCAAGCUUAUGGUGGCCAGAAUCCCUACGAGUGAAGAACUUUUUGGUGAAUCUCCUGCUUUGUGAAGAUUGUCUUCUCAGCUGACGGACGGAAACAUCCUGACUCAGGGAAACACAAUAAUGAGGGAUUUGUGUUUCCCCUUUGUUUGCCUUUUGCAGUGCCCAGGGGUUGGAUGUGCAGGAGCAAGUCCUUGGCUCUUCUACAUGAUGUAAAUCUACCAUAUUCUCUGUUUGUUGAGAGCAACCAGGAAGGUAUUCAGGGCCCAAGAUUCCAGUUUAGGAAGUUGUAGCAAUGAUGGGCAUCUUCCCUACUCAUUGUUUGAAAGAUUGUGAUAACAGCAACAGAAAUAAUGGCAGUCAAUGAGAAAUGAAGUUCUUAGUUCUUCUGUGCAUCAGAAUACACUGCAAGCUGAUAAGCUGUGUAUGGAAAGCAUCACAGUAGUCUGUGUAGCAAAGUACAGCCAGGGAGUACACGUGCAGUGUGCUGAGGCAUUUUUAAGCAAUAUUUAAGAGGAAAAGAGGUAACCCCUAAUCUGCUUAUCCAGUGGUGCGUGGGUAAGCGUGCUGACGCUGAGGAUGUCCCUGGAGCUAUGGCAGUAAGAAGGGAAAGCAGGGAACCUCAUUCCAGGUUAUGAAAGAACAUAAUAUGCAGGAGUGUUUUAUGUAAGUCUACGAGGGGGGAAAAUGGAUGAAAAUAGGGGAAUGGAGUUGUAGUGACUGUUACACCUGCAGAAGAAGUUGACUUUAGAGGUGGUCAUAAUGUGAAUUUCCUGUGUGUGCUGUGUUUGUAAUGUGUGAAAACAAAUUUAACUCAUCAGGUGGGAAAGUUCUUACAGAACUGAUGUCUGUGGACAGAAAGGAGUUUGUAACACAGUUAAGAUGCUGCAUGUACAGAACAAAAUUUCCCUGGACUUCACUGGGCUUUGGAUCAGACCUUCCUUCUGAAUUAAAAAAAAGAAGAGUACCACAUAAAUACAGUAUUCGUUUUGCAGAUAUUCUGCUUCAAACAGAGUAACUGAGUUCAGCCACUCUGCUUUUAUUAUUAUGACAAAUAUCUCCACAUUAGCAUAAGGGAAAACAAGGGGUGAAAUGCCAGGCGUGCUCCCACGCAUCUGAACCAACAGAAUCGCUCUCUGCAUUUUGCAGACCUUCUGCAUGAAUCAUUAUGCCCAUUCUGUGUAAUAAAUAAUAAUAAUAAUAAUAAUUUGUGAUGUAAAAAGUGCUCUCAAGAGAACUUUGUUUUAUUUAGCAUUUAAUAAAUGUAUUCAGCAAGGACUGCCUUGCCUAUACACGUAUAUGCUAUAUCCGUAUUUGUGUGCCUCAUGCAGCAAAGCUGCUACCUGCUAAACACAGAUCUAUACUUCGGCCACGUGAGAAUGCCCCACUCAUCAGCUCCACUUGUUGCACCUCUCCUGGGAUGGCCAAAUCUCUCACAAAUGUGCAGUUUUAUGAGCAUCCCUCGGCACGACAGGCGUCACACAGCACUGCAAAUUCAUGAACGAAACGAACUCACUCCAUCCUCUCUCUGGAUCUGCAUGGAGCCUCUCACAAUGGGGCUGUGAUUUAUUUGGGGCCUCUGGGUAUGACUGCCAUACAAGUAGUAACUAAUGACAACAGACCACCAGAGAUUGCUGAGAUUUGCUUGCAGUAAGGAAAAAUAAACUGGUCCGUAGCACGGACAUUGCACAUCUGGUUAUGUGCAUAAACAGGGCUGAUU